GGAGUUAGCCGGUGCUUCUUCUGCGAGUAACGUCACAGAUGUAAGGUAUUAACUUACACCCUUUCCUCCUCGCUGAAAGUGCUUUACAACCCGAAGGCCUUCUUCACACACGCGGCAUGGCUGCAUCAGGGUUUCCCCCAUUGUGCAAUAUUCCCCACUGCUGCCUCCCGUAGGAGUCUGGGCCGUGUCUCAGUCCCAGUGUGGCUGAUCAUCCUCUCAGACCAGCUAGGGAUCGUCGCCUAGGUGAGCCUUUACCUCACCUACUAGCUAAUCCCACCUGGGCUUAUCCAUCAGCGCAAGGCCCGAAGGUCCCCUGCUUUCCCCCGUAGGGCGUAUGCGGUAUUAGCAGUCGUUUCCAACUGUUAUCCCCCACAAAUGGGCAAAUUCCCAGGCAUUACUCACCCGUCCGCCGCUCGUCAUCUUCAAAAGCAAGCUUUUGAAAUGUUACCGCUCGACUUGCAUGUGUUAGGCCUGCCGCCAGCGUUCAAUCUGAGCCAUGAUCAAAUUCUGA
rnacentral:rRNA from 1 species